GGAUUUGGGAUUGUUCUGAUUUAUGUCAAAUAUUUACAGAUCGAUAAGUUUGAACCCCGAUCCAAUAAGUACUUAUUUAUAGGAUACCCCAAAGAAUCUAAGGUAUACUACUUCUAUCUUGCUGAGAAAUAAAAGGUGUUCAUCAGUAAUAGGACAGUCUUUUUAAAAAAGGAGUUCCUUAUAGAAGGAAUUAGUGUCACUAAGGUUG
rnacentral:lncRNA from 1 species